AGAGUUUGAUCCUGGCUCAGAUUGAACGCUGGCGGCGUGCCUAACACAUGCAAGUCGAGCGGUAACAGGUGUAGCAAUACAUGCUGACGAGCGGCGAACGGGUGAGUAAUGCUUUGGAAUCUUCCCAGUAGUGGGGAACAACCAGUCGAAAGAUUGGCUAAUACCGCAUACGUCUGUGAAGAGAAAGCGGGGGAUCGUAAGACCUCGCGCUAUUGGAUGAGCCAAAGUCGGAUUAGCUAGUUGGUGAGGUAAUGGCUCACCAAGGCGACAAUCCGUAGCUGGUCUGAGAGGACGACCAGCCACACCGGAACUGAGACACGGUCCGGACUCCUACGGGAGGCAGCAGUGGGGAAUAUUGGACAAUGGGGGAAACCCUGAUCCAGCGACGCCGCGUGUGUGAAGAAGGCCUGCGGGUUGUAAAGCACUUUUAGUGGGGACAAAAAGUCACGGACUAACACUCUGUGAUCUUGAUUUAACUCACAGAAAAAGCACCGGCUAACUCUGUGCCAGCAGCCGCGGUAAUACAGAGGGUGCGAGCGUUAAUCGGAAUUACUGGGCGUAAAGCGCGCGUAGACGGUUUUGUAAGUCAGAUGUGAAAUCCCCGGGCUCAACCUGGGAACUGCAUUUGAUACUGCAUGGCUAGAGUAUCGAAGAGGGAAGUGGAAUUUCCGGUGUAGCGGUGAAAUGCGUAGAUAUCGGAAGGAACACCAGUGGCGAAAGCGACUUCCUGGUCGAAUACUGACGUUCAUGUGCGAAAGCGUGGGGAGCAAACAGGAUUAGAUACCCUGGUAGUCCACGCCAUAAACGAUGACAACUAGAUGUUGGGAGGGUCUGCCUCUCGGUGUCGCAGCUAACGCGUUAAGUUGUCCGCCUGGGGAGUACGGCCGCAAGGUUGAAACUCAAAGGAAUUGACGG
rnacentral:rRNA from 1 species